rnacentral:rRNA from 1 species
UACGGAGGGUGCGAGCGUUGUCCGGAAUUACUGGGCGUAAAGGGCGCGUAGGCGGCCUGUUAAGUCGGACGUGAAAUCCCCGGGCUCAACCCGGGAACUGCGUCCGAUACUGGCAGGCUUGAAUCCGGGAGAGGGAUGUGGAAUUCCAGGUGUAGCGGUGAAAUGCGUAGAUAUCUGGAGGAACACCGGUGGCGAAGGCGGCAUCCUGGACCGGCAUUGACGCUGAGGCGCGAAAGCCAGGGGAGCAAACGGG